rnacentral:lncRNA from 1 species
UGUCUCUCAUAGAUAAUAUGUCGUUGAAGUCACCCCCAAUUAUUAACUGGCCAAUACUGUGAUUUUCAAUUAAUUGUUUUACUGAUUUAAAAAAGGUGUUUCUUACUUUACAAUUAUUAGGUGCAUAUAGGUUCACUAAUGUAUAUAUAUUGUCAUCUAUUUCUAUAUUAACUAAUAUGAAUCUACCUUCUGAAUCCUUAUAUUGGUCAAUAAUCUUAAAGUUUAAUCUGCUUUUUAUCCAUAUGGCAACCCCUCUUGCAUUACUUAACCCGUUACUAAAGAUUACUUCACCUUUGAAUUCUUGUUUUAGCUUUGGU